AUCCAGCUGACGAGUUCCAAAUAGAGUAAAACGUGCUUCCUGGAU
rnacentral:hammerhead_ribozyme from 1 species